AACGAACGCUGGCGGCAUGCCUAACACAUGCGAGUCGAACGAGACCUUCGGGUCUAGUGGCGCACGGGUGCGUAACGCGUGGGAAUCUGCCCUUGGGUUCGGAAUAACAGUUAGAAAUGACUGCUAAUACCGGAUGGUGACGUAAGUCCAAAGAUUUAUCGCCCAAGGAUGAGCCCGCGUAGGAUUAGCUUGUUGGUGAGGUAAAAGCUCACCAAGGCGACGAUCCUUAGCUGGUCUGAGAGGAUGAUCAGCCACACUGGGACUGAGACACGGCCCAGACUCCUACGGGAGGCAGCAGUGGGGAAUAUUGGACAAUGGGCGAAAGCCUGAUCCAGCAAUGCCGCGUGAGUGAUGAAGGCCUUAGGGUUGUAAAGCUCUUUUACCCGGGAUGAUAAUGACAGUACCGGGAGAAUAAGCCCCGGCUAACUCCGUGCCAGCCGCCGCGGUAACAC
rnacentral:rRNA from 1 species